rnacentral:rRNA from 1 species
UACGGGGGGGGCAAGCGUUGUUCGGAAUUACUGGGCGUAAAGGGCUCGUAGGCGGCCAACUAAGUCGGACGUGAAAUCCCCAGGCUCAACCUGGGAACUGCGUCCGAUACUGGAUGGCUUGAAUUCGGGAGAGGGAUGCAGAAUUCCAGGUGUAGCGGUGAAAUGCGUAGAUAUCUGGAGGAGUACCGGUGGCGAAGGCGGCAUCCUGGACCGACAUUGACGCUGAGGAGCGAAAGCUAGGGGAGCAAACGGG